GGGUAUAGCUCAGGUGGAGGGUGCAUGCUUAGCAUGCACAAGGUCCUGGGUUCAAAUCCCAGUACUGCCA
rnacentral:tRNA from 1 species